GUUUUCUCAGGAGUCGUGUGACGCUGACGUCACGCGUGAGUUCGGGGUAUAUUGUUUGGAAUAAUUGACCUGAAAACAAAUUGACUGAGCUGCAGAAAUGCUGCGUUUUCUCUGCUGUUGUUGCUUUUCCUCGGGGGAAAACUCUAACGAGACGCAGCCUCUCCUGCAACCCCGACCAUCUGAAGUGAGUGGAUCAGCCAGGCAGACCCGUCCAGCACACAGUGAUGCAUGGACUGUGAAACGGAUUGGUAGGCUGGUGAUGAGACGAGUGUGCGUGCCAGAGUUGGAUCAGCGGUUUUCCGACAUGGCCGAGACCUUCAAUGAGCAGCAGCAGCGGUAUGAGGCUAUGGUCAAGCACAUCAGAAACCUGCAAAGGAGCUGUGACUGUACUAAUAAUGACAGCCUUGCACUAGCUGAAUGUGUGGGGAAGAUCAGAAAAGAGCAUGAGUCAAAGUGUAGGGUCUCUCUUAAGAUGAAAGGCUAUGACUUCUCCCUCAGUGUGGUUGAGGGUGAAAGCCUGGGUAAGUCACUUCCUUCACGUCUGCAGCUGGCCCAGCAUGAAGUGAAGGACAUUUCUGAGAACGCCAGGGCCACCAUCUCAAAGGGUACCACACUUCAAGAGCUUAUUGGCUGGCUGCUCCGUAGCCAGGACCAAAUGGCUGACCAGGUAAAGGGGGCGGCAGAAACUUACCAAGAGCAAGGAAGACUGAAUGAGAACCUGGAGGAGAACAUGAGGGAAGUGAAGAGGGCAAAGGAGCUGUCACAGGGGUACAGGCAACAGGCCGGGGAAGUUCUCACAGAGGCUGCACAGAUAGCAGGGGCGCAUGUUUAGUUCAUUUAUAGACUUUGACCAAUAAUGUUAGAGGCACAGGAUUCAUCAUGUACAUAAAGUAGAUACACAUUAUAGGCAAAAGGAGGCUGAUAAUUAACUUACAUGGAACAUGUCCAGUACCAGUCUCUACCCACCCACUGUGUGAAUUUGUACAGAAGUGCCAAAGUCUUCUCCAUUCACAUCUGCAGCAACUACACUACACAACAUUUACACUGCACAAUUAAGCUAGAAGAUAGAAUAGAAUGUCUUUUAAUUGUCACUAUACACAAGUACAAUAAGAUUAAAGUGUCAUCCAGUUUCAGUGCAAAAAACAAGAAAUAUAAAAUUUAUUAAAAAAGAGAUAUAAAAAAGAUAUUAAGAAAAAUAUUUACAAAAUAAACAUAGAAGUUAGUGCA
rnacentral:lncRNA from 1 species